rnacentral:rRNA from 1 species
GAUGAACGCUAGCGGCAGGCUUAACACAUGCAAGUCGAGGGGUAGUUACUUUCGGGUAAUGAGACCGGCGCACGGGUGCGUAACGCGUAUGCAAUCUACCUUUUACAGGGGAAUAGCCCAGAGAAAUUUGGAUUAAUGCCCCAUAGUAUGUAUGAAUCGCAUGGUUUAUACAUUAAAGUUCCAACGGUAAAAGAUGAGCAUGCGUCCCAUUAGCUAGUUGGUAAGGUAACGGCUUACCAAGGCGACGAUGGGUAGGGGUCCUGAGAGGGAGAUCCCCCCACACUGGUACUGAGACACGGACCAGACUCCUACGGGAGGCAGCAGUGAGGAAUAUUGGACAAUGGGCGCAAGCCUGAUCCAGCCAUGCCGCGUGCAGGAUGAAGCAUCUAUGGUGUGUAAACUGCUUUUGUACGAGAGAAACACUCAACGUGUUGGAGCUUGACGGUAUCGUAAGAAUAGGA